rnacentral:rRNA from 1 species
CCUACGGGAGGCAGCAGUGAGGAAUAUUGGUCAAUGGGAGAGAGCCUGAACCAGCCAAGCCGCGUGAGGGAAGACGGCCCUAUGGGUUGUAAACCUCUUUUGUCGGGGAACAAAACCCGGGACGUGUACCGGACUGCGUGUAUCCGAAGAAAAAGCAUCGGCUAACUCCGUGCCAGCAGCCGCGGUAAUACGGAGGAUGGGAGCGUUAUCCGGAUUUAUUGGGUUAAAGGGGUGCGUGGGCGGUCCGUUAAGUCAGCGGGAAAAUUGCGGGGCUAAACCCCGUCGAGCCGUUGAAACUGGCAGGCUUGAGUUGGCGAGAAGUACGCGGAAUGCGCGGUGUAGCGGUGAAAUGCAUAGAUAUCGCGCAGAACCCCGAUUGCGAAGGCAGCGUACCGGCGCCAGACUGACGCUGAGGCACGAAAGCGUGGGGAGCGAACAGGAUUAGAUACCCUGGUAGUC